UACGUAGGGUGCGAGCGUUAAUCGGAAUUACUGGGCGUAAAGCGUGCGCAGGCGGUGAUGUAAGACCGAUGUGAAAGCCCCGGGCUCAACCUGGGAAUGGCAUUGGAAACUGGCGAGCUAGAGUGUGGCAGAGGGGGGUGGAAUUCCGCGUGUAGCAGUGAAAUGCGUAGAGAUGCGGAGGAACACCGAUGGCGAAGGCAGCCCCCUGGGCUGACACUGACGCUCAGGCACGAAAGCGUGGGGAGCAAACAGG
rnacentral:rRNA from 1 species